rnacentral:misc_RNA from 1 species
GUAGGUGAACCUGCGGAAGGAUCAUUACCAAUCCAAAAAAAAACCGAAUACACCUGUGCACUCUGGGAAUGUCUUUAGGGGUACGGAAGUUCCUUCUCUUAGGCUUUUAAAUGGCACAAUUUAUAUAUAUUGUUGUUGUAUAUGCGCGCAUUUUUGUCAAGUUGUCAAAAAAGUAAGACUAUUGGAAGGGCUGCGGGCCUAUUCAAUGACUUUACUUUUUCAAUGAAACAUCAUGCAUGUGUAUUCUACGAUGUGAUAUAUAUGAUUGGAAAGUUUCUAAGCUGCUUGACGAGAUGGAUACUUUGUCCCCGGAUGUAUUAAACAACUUGUUUAACCAAUUUUUAUUUUCAUUUUGUCUGACUUUUGUCAACGAAAUGUAAAAACAAAAAACAAAUACAACUUUUAGCGGUGGAUCUCUUGGCUCAU